UGAGUAAUGCGUGACCAACCUGCCCCAUGCUCCAGAAUAGCUCUUGGAAACGGGUGGUAAUGCUGGAUGCUCCAACUUGACGCAUGUCUUGUUGGGAAAGUGUUUAGUGGCAUGGGAUGGGGUCGCGUCCUAUCAGCUUGUAGGCGGGGCAAUGGCCCACCUAGGCUUCGACGGGUAGCCGGCCUGAGAGGGCGGACGGCCACAUUGGGACUGAGAUACGGCCCAGACUCCUACGGGAGGCAGCA
rnacentral:rRNA from 1 species